rnacentral:lncRNA from 1 species
CAAAAACAGAGUUGCGGAAAUAAAUCAGCUUACGCAUGGAUUUUCCUGGAGAUACUGUCCGACUGAUUCAAACCCCGCAGACUUACUUUCAAGAGGAAUGACAGCUGUAAGGUUUAAAAAUUGUGAUCUAUGGAUGAAAGGCCCCGGAUGGAUUGUUGAUACUACAAAAUGGCCUCAGUGGAAAAAAGAAGCUCUAAUAUUUACAACUCUAACCAAAGAUAACUUAUCAACAAACACAAACGAUACAGCGACAAGUAUUACAGUGGGAAUAAAUAAAAUCAUGGAUAUAGAUAGGUAUGGAGCGUACCAGAA